GAGUUUGAAUUAGGUCACGCCCAGCCUUACUGGCAAAUCCCUAGCUGUGACAAGUUGCACGUAGUUGGACGUUUCAGAUGUAUUCCGAUUUUCCUCUGAGCUGUAGGUUUUUAAAGAGAAUGUGUAUUAGUCAGGGUUUGGCCAGGAAAGCAGAUGGCACUCUCCAUUUCAGAUGGAAACGGAUUCCAUUCUGGAGAUGAGGCGCUUACAAAACAGUUGGCAGAGUUGGAAGAGCAAACCGGAUACCAGCUCUCAGAUUUCCUCGAACUUCCAGUGCAAGAGAAAGUGCGGUGAGCGGGCGCACCUGUCUGCAAGAACAAGGACACAGCCGUGUGCCUCUGUGUAACCCGCUGUGACGUGUGUAGUGAACGCUUUUGUGUCUCCCUGUCAUCCUGCUGUCUUGCCGGGGCUCUUAGUUCAACUGUGUGUCUGCGAGGCUCCUCUAGUUGGCAUAUGGGAGGCCACCUUGACCACUCUCCGUACUGUUUGGGUUCUACGGUAUGAAGACACUCUAGGAGGUGGGCCACUUCCAAACAGUUGAAGGCCUGAGUAACACAAGAAUAGCCAUUACCAAACAAGAGAGAAGUCUCCAGCAGAUGGACUUUGGACUACAUCUACACCUUCGGCUGUUGACAGCCUGAAGACCAGACCUGCCUCAUGGGCUCUUCCUGGGGCCGCAGCCUGCCCACCCACGUUGCAGAUUUUGGACUUACCGACAUCUCUAAACCAUGAGCCGAUUCCUUAUAAUACAUUUUUUUCUCUCUAUAUAUACAUCUUAUUUGUUCUGUUUCUCAGGAGGAGGCCUACUACAGCCUGCUUCCUGCCAGAGCCUCGGUUGGUGCCCGCAUCCAUGCCCUCGGGCAGGAGAGAGAUGGGCCUUGUACCCACCGUAGUAGGAAGGAACUUAAAAACCUUGCCUGGAGCUACAGUUCUUUUGGAGCCUUGGAGCUGGAGCUGCUCUCCCUGAAUGGAGAAGCUGGUCUUCCUCCCUGAACCCUCCCUCUUCCUCGGUCACCUGCCAGCUUGGCCCUCAGAACCCCGGAGCCUGGAGAUUGAUCAGGCCGCCCAUGCUGCUCGAGGUGCCUGAGUCCCGAUGUCAGCAGGAGGCGGGGCUCCUCCGUGUACUGGACCUCUCCUUGUAGCCGGGGCACCUGGGAAGGCAUGGGAGGGCAGUCUUUCUGGACAUCCGGGGACCCAGUCCCCCUCUGUCUUAGUCUGCUUGGGCUGCCAUCACAAAAUACCACAGACUCAGUGGCUUCACAGAACUUUAUUUUCUCACUGUUCUUGGAGGCUGGAAGUCCAAGGUCAUGGUUGGGUUCUGGUGAGGGCCCUCCUCCUGGCAUGUACAUGGCUGCCUUCUUGCCAGUGCUCACACGACAGAGAGAGCUGCAGCCAAGUGUCUGGGGUUUCCUUUUAGAAGCACACCACCCCACCAUAGCAGGGCCCUCCCCUCAUGAACUCCCUGAACCUUAAUUUCCUUAAUUAAGGGCCCCAGCUCCAAAUACAGACACAUUGGGGGUUAGGGCUCCAGCAUCCGUGUUGAGAGGGACAUCAUUUGGCCCAUAUGACCCUUGCAGGUGAAUUCUUUCCCUCAAAGGGUCUCUGCCUGGUCCCUAAUACUGCUGGGCUCCCGGAGCCUUUGGAGAAACAGGAAAUGCUCCGAAAGGCUCUCUGGGUACUUUAUACUUAUACUGCCUGUGAAGCACUAGGAAAGCGCCACCCAGAGUUGUCCCCAUCAGUCACACCCGCAGCACCCACCCUGAUGGGCAGGGAAAUCACUGGGGGCAGGGCGGGACUAGGGUUGGGGUCAAGCCUAGGUCAGGGGUAUUUUUUGUCAAGGGACUCAAAGUUCAUACUAAGUCAAGGUGGGGAGCAAAACUCUGUGUGUGUGUUUGGGGGGGGUGGAAGAAAGGCACAUGGCCAGGAGGGCAACAAGCUCAGGUCACCCCAGCUGUCUUUGUAACCUCAGGUCGCCUCCCUCUGUGGGCCUUAAUUUCCUCUUCUGCAAAAGAAAGGCCUGGAUUAGAUCACCCCCCAGGCUGCUUCUAGCCCUGACAUUCUGUGAUUUUCUAAUUUCCUUCAGACUCCAGGGGCCUGCAGACCCCAUGCUAAUGUGCAUGAAUAAA